AUACGGAGGGGGCUAGCGUUGUUCGGAAUUAUUGGGCGUAAAGGGCGCGUAGGCGGCCUGGUAAGUCGGACGUGAAAUCCCGCAGCUCAACUGCGGAACUGCGUUCGAAACUGCCAGGCUUGAGUCCCGGAGAGGGUAGCGGAAUUCCCAGUGUAGCGGUGAAAUGCGUAGAUAUUGGGAGGAACACCAGUGGCGAAGGCGGCUACCUGGACGGGUACUGACGCUGAGGCGCGAAAGCGUGGGGAGCAAACAGGAUUAGAAACCCCAGUAGUCC
rnacentral:rRNA from 1 species